AUUGUUUAGCCAAUGAAGGAUUUCGCGCCACGGAAUGAAUCGAAGAACUGAGAACGUUUCCAAUACCGACAGCAGCUCCCGCUAAAGCAAUUGUAGCAGCUCCAGCACCUAUUGAUUUAGCUCCUUCUAACAUGUAGAGUUGAGAGUUGACAUUGUCGGGUUUCACGCUUUUCCUUCGCAACUAGAAAUUUCGAGUUCGAGUAUAGUAUAGUAUUUCUCGUUGAUUUGAUUCCUUCCUCCUCUCCUUAUCCUUAGUUGAACAGAUGAAAGCGAAAGGAGUUGCUUCAAUGAAACUGGAAAACCUAAAACCCACAUAGUGGAAUAAUAAACCCAGCCCUGCCCUUAUCUUGGGCUUGACAGGUAGACUAUAAAGAGAUUCAGUACAACAAGCCUGCGCAGGAGUUCUAGCUAUUUCCAAUUUGAAUAAAUAACCCGAUCAUAUCAUAUCAUAUCUUGGAAAACCCUAAGACUACCCGAGGCUGUACCCUAUAGUAAUUUCCUUCUACCUCUUAUCUCUAUAGUCUUUACGUCGUCUCCUGGGUCGGUUAAGCUAUAACCUAGUAGUACCGGGAACAACUCCUCUAAGCAUCAAGUCAAUUAAGGAACCCGAUUUGUUGGGUUUUGAACUGUUAAAUGGUUACACGCCCGACAUACUGUCUGAUAGGGUGGCUAACCCGAUUCAUUCCUCGAAUCGUAAAUCAUUACUAUUUUUGCUUGCUCGAGUAGAGUCGAAAAGUGGGGAACCUGGAUUCCCAGCAGGUGAUCUCGAUCACCAUAAUAUGAUAUUUUGCAUUCCCUUAAUUUCUGAGAUGGAACUCUUUUCCAACAUAAAAUACAAGUCUAUCAGUUCAAUAAAAGUAUGGGUUAACCAUUCCUCCUCUUAAGUUAGGGGUUUGGGAUUAGUAGAGUAGUAUAACUACAGCUCUAGUAGUUAAAGGCGGGAGGGGUCCGACCUGACUAUUGGUUCUUUCCUCUAAAGAAACAUAGCUAAAAGGUGUCUGAUCUUGUCUAUAUUGUCCGAAGUAGCCUUUGGUUGUCAAAGUAAGUGAAA
rnacentral:lncRNA from 1 species